UUUCAAUGACUGAAGCUAGGUGCUAGCUAGAGUUUGCCUUUGUAAAUCAGCAACGAUGUCAGCCUGAGGAAGAUUUACAACGUGCAUUUAACAUGGACUUCCUCUGGAUGGUGGCAGAUUGACAAC